AUGGGAUGGUUGUGUUCGGCGGUGUAGGUAAUGAUGAAGGUGGUUGGAUCGGACCGGCUCCGCUCCACCUGCUUCCUCGCCAAGCAUCCUUUGGAGCUGCUGCACCUGUAAUAACCUCUGUAGAGAGAGAGAGAGAUACCUUGGAUAAGGGGAGCCCUUGAUGGGUUUUUGCCCGUACUUGCGCCAUGCCCACAUGUCGGAAGAAAGGCCCUCAGCGGGUACCUGGCAAACCACCCUCUUCUGCUGGUUCUUCCUGUAAAAUAAAUAAAUAGACAUGAGUGAGAUGAGAAGAUUGGAGCUUGUGUAAGAGAAAUCAGAGGUAAAAAAGAAAAGAAAAAGUAAA